rnacentral:rRNA from 1 species
UACGGAGGGUGCAAGCGUUGUCCGGAUUUAUUGGGUUUAAAGGGUGCGUAGGCGGCCUUAUAAGUCAGUGGUGAAAGCCCAUCGCUCAACGAUGGAACUGCCAUUGAUACUGUAAGGCUUGAGUACAGACGAGGUAGGCGGAAUUGAUGGUGUAGCGGUGAAAUGCAUAGAUACCAUCAAGAACACCGAUUGCGUAGACAGCUUACUAGGCUGUAACUGACGCUGAGGCACGAAAGCGUGGGGAGCGAACAGG